UAAAAAUGAUUUCGAACAAAGUAGUCCAUGUGCUCGGAGAAGCCCAGUGGUGAAGCCCAGUAUGCUUGGGCACAAAGUUAGUUAUCCAUAAUCUCUAUCUACGAAGUUCCUUAUUUUUAUUUUGUUGUUUGUUCUCAGAGUGUUUUGGUGUUCCCUAUCUCAUUCAAAGAGAUGCAUCCCUGCGGUAAAUAUUUCGUCAACAUCUCUGCUAGGCAACAUCUCAAGGGCGUGGAACAGAUUAGUGAUUGGUUGUGACAGCAGAAAGGGCAGUCUAUUGGUCAAAAAGUAUCCAUGCCAACCGGAAGUCGAGAUUUGAGGGUAUAAAUGAACAGAAUCGCGCUGUGUUAGCAGUUCGAGGCACAGAAUAGAGAUAUUCUGUGUGGGAACAUUGGUGCUAGGGCAGGUUUGGGCUGAGAACGCUGUGAUCCUGUUCCAAGAUGAAGGCCGUGUUGCUGUUUUGUGUCCUUCUUGGACUUGUCAUUUCAAUCAACGGUGCAACUGUCGAGGAAAACACCAACGAGGUGGCGGAGAAGAGUGUUCCGGAAGAGGUUGAUGUAGAGGAAGAUUCUGCAAGCGAAGAAGAGGAAGACCCAGAAGCUGAAGAGCCCUCUGAAGACGAGGAAAGUGAUGCUACAGAACCGGAAGAGGACACUGAAUUAUCUGAAGACAAUUCUGAGCAAAUAGCAAAAGACGGCUCUGUAUCAGAUCCUUCAUGGCGCAGACGUUCCUGGCGCAGACGUUCUUGGCGCAGACGUUCCUGGCGCAGACGAUCCUGGCGCAGACGUUCUUGGCGCAGACGGUCCUGGCGCAGACGUUCCUGGCGCAGACGGUCCUGGCGCAGACGGUCCUGGCGCAGACGUAGCGGAAAAUAAGCAAAGAACUGGUUGAGAAACUUUUUUGCUCCCUAAUUAUGUUUUCCAUUUUUAAUUUUUGCAUAUUUGAAGCUGUUGACCAAGGUCAAUAGAGAAAGAUAUUGUGUUGUUUGUUUUGUUCUCCUACUUUCUGAAAGGGUCUGCCAUCUAUUUAACUCUGGACAUAUGAGAAAGAGUUUGCGGAAAGUUGCGAUAAAUGUCGUUAGUUAAUCAUAGAUUUAUAAACCAGAAAAGAAUAACAGUAUCCGUUAGCAAAGUUGAAAUCUUUCAUUGACCGUAUAUCACCCGAUUUUGAACACAUCUAGCUGAUUUUGUAUAGUUAGAAGUAUUUUAUGUCGUUUUUCUGAUUUUGUGGUCAAAACUAGAAAAUUCUAAAAAUAGAUUUUUGAUGACGCCACACCAGUAUUCUAUUGUGAGUGAUAUUUUCGACUUUUCAGGUAUCUAAAAAUUUCGAAUCGGAUACAAUUUGUAUAAAAAUCAAAGGUGAAAAUGCCAUUUAUACAAGGAACUCAGUAAAUUCACUGCGUUUGUAAAAGCGGUUCAAAGAGGCUCGAUUGCCUUCGCUUCUCGGAGCUAGGCCCUGCCCCAUCUAGCCACCAUUGUGAAAAGAGAGUUUUGCUUACACUGCUUUACUUGUUGGUUUUGGCUCAAUGUAUAUAUUAUAAUCUAAAGGUUUAUCUAUAUGAAAAAUUAGGUCUGAUUUAGAUAUUUUAUAAAACGAAAAAUAAGGGGAUAUGGUCCUCUGGAUUCCUCUUUGGCGCAGGCCUUUAGAGCAACCCUUCCGCGUUCGAGCAUGUUUGAUUCAGUUGUGUUCUCCAAAAGUCUGUUCUUCAAAAAAAAGCUACCAUGAAGGUCUCAAAUGAAAAAAUCCCAGGGGGCUCGAGCACCCAAGUUCGUGUGUCGUUGUUCUAGUUCUUGUGCUUGCAACGAAAACAAAGAUAAGUUCGAAACAUCAAAAAGCUGACCUGAAGAUUUAGGCUUUCAUUUUGAAAUAAUUCUAAUCAUUGGAAAAUUAGGAUAUCAGAAUCAGACCCAUUUUAUUCCUCAAGUUUAAUUAAAAACUUUUAUCCAUUACGUUCGUUGAUAGCCAAAACUCUAUCUAUGAAACCAGAUCCCUCUUAAUAAGAUUCUAGGUCCUUAAUUAAUUAGAGGUUUUUAGCGUUACUAAAAAAAUGUGUAUAUAUUUUCAAGAGGGUACCAAAAUGUAUGCUACUUUUGUUGGCUGUGACGCUUACAACCGAAAUUAUUCGUUAAAAAAAGUUGCUUGUGUAAUAUAGGUACUUAUUUCAUUUUAGGUCAGUCUUGCGUUUAUGCUUAUAUUUGUUCAUGCUUCUAUUUGAUUAGGAUAUAUUAGCGUGUCGCGCUUUAGUUUUUCAUGUUUUCCGGUAUAGUAAUAUUCUACAUGCCCUUUUGCUCUACAAAGUUCCCCCGCUUAUCCUAAUAUAUCUAACACCUCCAACUAGUUCAUUUACGUAUUGCACGAUAGAUACCGACAAUAACACCGGCAAUUAUUGAUAUUAGUUUGCUAAUGCUGUUAUAUAAAGUAGAGUACGGAGAAACAGAGUUAGUUAGUUAGUUAGUGAGAGAGAAGCGUGGUGCUUGCGAAAGGCCACUGCUAUCAAACAUGUAGACACUAACUCACACACACACAAAGAACGGUCAUGGAUAGAAAGGCUAAGAGAGGGCUGAUGGCAUUCAACCCGAGUGGCUUGUGAAAGCACUCGAGGUUUCGUUUCAUAUAAAUAUAUAAUUUAAUGGCGUAACAGUGCUUGUGAAAGGCUGUUUAGUACCUAAGUUUCGAUAUUGUGUAAAAGUACGUCUUAGCUUUGGAUGGAACAAAAGGAAUUGAUUUUGUGUGUCAAAACGUGUCGUUUAUUCGCUCGGUCAAUCGCUCAAACAACGAAUGGUGUCAGAAGUUUUACAAAUGUAUAUACCAGCAGCAAAUUUUACACUUGUUUGGAAACCCCCAGCGCCAGACCACAAAGGGUAAUGGGAAUAGAUCAAUUAAAGUACAGGAUGAUUCAAUCUGGUUUCUGUCUAAAGCUUUUCCUCGGGACUAGCAAGGUUAUUUUUGAUUGUGUUGUUUUCCAGGCUUCAUGGUUGGGUCCAAUUAUUAUUGGUUUUUCUAGAUAAACGAUAGAGAGUUUCCGAUCGCCGACGCAGCAACGACGGGGACGUUUGCGAGGCCUGGAAAUAGCGCGGCCGUUCCGUCCUCCUGCACAUGUGAAAAAUGAGAUUCCGAUUUUACGACGGGGACGUAGAAUGGCGCCAAAAUCAAACAAGCUAAAAAUGGACGACAUGUUGUUUUUAUUGCACGAUGAGGGCGAUAUCGACGGCAAAGAGACGCCUCUUCUGUUAGAGCACCAUAAUAAAAAUUUGCACGAUGGCCUUCCGUAUUUUAAGUGAACGUUGGAAACACUACAUCAGCUUUUUUUCUAUCUGCAGCAACCAGUUCUUGAAGAAUACUUCAGAUAAGGAAAACACCUUUUCUUACAAGCUAUUAAACAGCUUUUUAAAAGCUUUCAAAGCCACCAAGUUUAGAUUUAUCUUAUCACACACGAUAGAAAACUCCAAGUAUGUGUAUUGUUGAUAACCUUCUGAAAGUUCUAGAAAAAUUAAUAGCAGCCAUCCUGAUCUGCAAUUUACUGGUUCUCAUAUAACAAAGAGUGUAUAUCGAAAAUGGAGCAUGAUAUUACCAGAAAUGUACCAAUAAACAUACAAUUUCUUUAUGCAAUAUAUUCAAAUGUUAUAAUUUCCAAAUGUAACCAGCAUGCAGGAUUUUGCUUGCAUGUUUCAUGAGAGAAUAUCUAAAUACAAAUGCUUGGUGAAAGAAAAUGAUACUUCAGGUACUAUAAAAAUUUCUGUUUCAUAUUAAUUUUUGGUCUGUUAAAUGUAUACUGUAAAUUUUACAGUAGUUCAAGGGCAGCCACAAAACAAGCCCUCAAUAAGAAAUGUUUAAAGUCCAAAAACUUAACAGAAGCUGCCAGCCUGUAGUGGGAUUCCAGUAGAGGGGACAGGCUAAACUUGUAAGAAAGGGAACAAAUUCUUAUCCACAUCACGAUCUUUGCAAUAAGUGCAUCAUAAAAGGCAGUUUGUAUUACAAAAAGUUGUCAACAUGUUUCACAUAUAAAAUAUGUUUUUACCUAACUAUAGACACUGUGUCCUUACUUGAAAAGUAGGAAUGUUCAGAUAUCAAUUAUAUCUGGCUAUAGGGAGAUUUAUUUACAGAAGAACUACAGUUGAAUCCAAGUCAAGAGUUCAAGGCAAACAAGCCAAUAACUUUUGUCCUCUAUAAAGAUAUAUCUGAGACUUAAAAAAUGCAAUGUUUCAUAUAAGUAAGAAUAUCUCAGUCUGCAGAGAAUGGCACUUUUAAAGAGAUCUCCCAUGUGAACAGCAACUUCAAGCAAGGUAUCUGUGCAAACCCCUCUUCACCAAUUAUAUGGCAGUAAACUUGGUGCUGUGCAGUUCUUAUUUCAGCAUUCAGCACUACACUGACAUUUAGUUUUGAUCCAAAAAGUGAAUUACAUUCAUUUAUUAUCAGAAACAAAGGUCAACAUUGAGAACACACUGAAGUCUCUGAAUGCAGCAAUUUUUAGCACUCAUUGUUUCUUAAAUUUCCAAAUUUUCAUGUCAUUUAUUCAUACAUUGGGGUCCUUUAUUAUUCAGGCUGCAGAAAAGGUUUAACACAUAAACAGGAGAUAGGAGACUGAUGAAGUUUGCUGUUCAGUUACAGUUCAUUUCAUUUUUAAAAAUCCAUACAUACUACAAAUUUUUUAAAAUACAGCACCAGGUUAUAAAAGAUGAAAUAAAUUACAUACAAUGAGAGAAAUAGAAUGCUGUGAAGAAUUUGUGGAAUUUUUUAAAAAUCUCAGUUAUUUAGGUCGGACAUUUUCAUGCCAACACUUAGAUGUUUCAAGCCCUCCAUUUUUAUAAAUUCUUUUCCUUUGAAUACUAUAAAAUUAUUUAAAUUUGUGAUUAUAAAAUUCUUGUGAUUAAAAAACUUUAGUCAAAUUUUUACUUUGUUUCUUACAAAUAAAAGGUUUAAAAAAGCUAUAACUUAUAAAACCUACAAACAAUGUUCAUCAAGUCAGUUGCAACUAUUUUUAAUGCAUUGUGUCUAAGAAUUAGGGCCGGCUUUCCAUGUCUUUUGGUGUCACUUUAGUUGCCAUUUUCCUUCAGAAAUAGGUCGAAUUGAUAAGGCUGAAAUACAAAAGAAAACUUGGUAAAAUGGCCUAUUUUUAGUAAAACGAACGAACAAGGAAGUCUUUUCCAGGUACUGAAACAGCUAUUUACUUUCACUCUUUGCUGCCUUUCAUGCAAAUUGCUGUGUAAUAGAGUAAUGGCGCCUUUGCUGAAUCCAUAUGCUGUGAGUUUUGCUAUGAGGAGUUCAUGAUCUAUUGAGGAGUUCAAUUUGCUCUUUUCUCAUACGCCCAUAGACUUCUGAUUUUGGAGGUACAAUAGUUUUUGGCCGAUAAUUUCCUUUCUGCAAUGAAUUUAGCUUCAUGGCCGUAACAUUACCCUCCUUUAAUUCAGAAAGAAACAUUUUGUUAUUAAUGGAUUGGUUGAAGACUUUUUGUAAUGUAUCAAAGAAAAUAUCAGAAUAUUCCUUUAGAAUCCUAUUUGGACGCCUUAUUUUGUUUUAGUUCUUGUAGUUUUUGGAAAACGUUUUCAGUUAUAACCAGUUGGAACUGAAAUUUUGAGGGUGGUCGUACACUCUCCGCUAUGAGCUUACAGAAAGAUAAGACUGUACUUCCUGAUGGCAUACCUUCUGAUGGCAUACCUUCUGAUGGCAUACCUUCUCAUGGCAUACCUUCUGAUGGCAUACCUUCUGAUGGCAUACCUUCUCAUGGCAUACCUUCUGAUGGCAUACCUUCUGAUGGCAUACCUUCUCAUGGCAUACCUUCUGAUGGCAUACCUUCUGAUGGCAUACCUUCUCAUCGCAUACCUUCUCAUGGCAUACCUUCUCAUGGCAUGAUGGCAUACCUUCUCAUGGCAUACCUUCUCAUGGCAUACCUUCUCAUGGCAUACCUUCUCAUGGCAUACCUUCUCAUGGCAUACCUUCUCAUGGCACACCUUCUCAUGGCAUACCUUCUGAUGGCAUACCUUCUCAUGGCAUACCUUCUGAUGGCAUACCUUCUCAUGGCAUACCUUCUCAUGGCAUACCUUCUGAUGGCAUACCUUCUCAUGGCAUACCUUCUGAUGGCAAUUUCAACAGGAUAUAGAAAUCUCUCCGCAUAGAUCAUAUUAUCCUUAGUUUCAGUUAUUCCCAAUGGGCCGGCAAUGUUAAUAAAAUAGUCAUUAAAGAUCUAAGUCUUUAAUAUCUAAGUUUUCGUAAUAAUCAAAUUUGGUUUGUCGCAAGAUUUUACACAUAAGUACCAGUGGCGUAGCGUCCGGGUAUUCAAGGUAUUCAGUGAAUACCCUGAGAUUUCUCAGAAAAAAUAUUAAUACGACGUAUAAUUGUAAUAACUAAAAAAUGUUUUGGGGCCAUUGAUUCUGGUUGAAAUCGUUACCUUCGAUAUUCUACAUUUUGUACUAGUACAAAAUAUCACGAAAUUCAUGGAAACAAUAACGCUGCGAAGCAUAGAGAAGCUGGGAGAACUUUGAAGCUAAUUUUGAAGAUUGAGUUACUUCAUGUUGAAUGGAGAUAGGUCAUGAAUACGCAGUGAAUACCCUAGACGGUUCUUUAACCAAUCAAAAUGCUCCUUUCCAUGAAUAAUAUUUGCCGUUAAUCAGCUAAAACAAUGGUCUUGUACGCUAAGAAAUAUGCAGCGUACAGCCUCAAAGUUGGUUCAAAAUAGUCUCGUUUUGAGAUCGAUAUAAACAGUUAAUGGACGUCGGAGCGGUUGGAGUGGUGGAUCUUCAUCGAAAACAGUAAACAUGACUUCAUUCAAAGCUAUUGCAAUGUCCGUAUUACUGUUUAAUAAUCAUUCUCUCAUUUGACCCCUAAUCUUAACCUACCAACAGCAAAGUGGAAAGGAUAGGCAACAUCUCAAGGGCGUGGAACAGGUUAGUGAUUGGUUGUGACAGCAGAAAGGGCAGUCUAUUGGUCAAAAAGUAUCCAUGCCAACCGGAAGUCGAGAUUUGAGGGUAUAAAUGAACAGAAUCGCGCUGUGUUAGCAGUUCGAGGCACAGAAUAGAGAUAUUCUGUGUGGGAACAUUGGUGCUAGGGCAGGUUUGGGCUGAGAACGCUGUGAUCCUGUUCCAAGAUGAAGGCCGUGUUGCUGUUUUGUGUCCUUCUUGGACUCGUCAUUUCAACCAACGGUGCAACUGUCGAGGAAAACACCAACGAGGUGGCGGAGAAGAGUGUUCCGGAAGAGGUUGAUGUAGAGGAAGAUUCUGCAAGCGAAGAAGAGGAAGACCCAGAAGCUGAAGAGCCCUCUGAAGACGAGGAAAGUGAUGCUACAGAACCGGAAGAGGACACUGAAUUAUCUGAACCGGAAGAGGACACUGAAUUAUCUGAAGACAAUUCUGAGCAAAUAGCAAAAGACGGCUCUGUAUCAGAUCCUGCAUGGCGCAGACGGAGCUUCCGCAGAAGAUCUUGGCGCCGACGUAGCUUCCGCAGAAGAUCCUGGCGCAGACGUAGCUUCCGCAGAAGAUCCUGGCGCAGACGUAGCUUCCUCAGAAGAUCCUGGCGCAGAC